rnacentral:rRNA from 1 species
AGUGAACGCUGGCGGUAGGCCUAACACAUGCAAGUCGAACGGCAGCACAGUAAGAGCUUGCUCUUACGGUUGGCGAGUGGCGGACGGGUGAGGAAUACAUCGCCAUCUACUUUUUCUUGGGUGAUAACGUAGGGCAACUUACGCUAAUACCUCAUAUGUCCUACGGGUUAAAUCAGUAGAUCUUCGCACCUUGCGCGACUGAUUUAGCCGAUGUCGGAUUAGCUAGUUGGCGGGGUAAAGGCCCACCAAGGCGACGAUCCGUAGCGGGUCUGAGAGGAUGAUCAGCCACACUGGAACUGAGACACGGUCCAGACUCCUACGGGAGGCAGCAGUGGGGAAUAUUGGACAAUGGGCGCAAGCCUGAUCCAGCCAUACCGCGUGGGUGAAGAAGGCCUUCGGGUUGUAAAGCCCUUUUGUUGGGGAAGAAAAGCAGCAGGUGAAUACCCCGCUGUUCUGACGGUACCCAAAGAAUAAGCACCGGCUAACUUCGUG